rnacentral:misc_RNA from 1 species
UUUCCGUAGGUGAACCUGCGGAAGGAUCAUUAUUAUAUUCGGAGUAGUGUUUACUGCUAGAAUUCGUUGUUUUUGUUUGUUUUGUUUUGUUUGUUGUUGUUUGUUAUGUUCUGGUUUUCCUUGCCUUUAAUUAGGUAUAGCUCCUUAUGUUUUCUAGUAGUAACACUCUCCCGAAUAUAAAAGGAGCAAGAUACCCUUUAUAUUUAAAACCUACUCUUAAAUAUUUAUUUGUAUUUUAAAUGAUAAAUUAAAGAUCACUUUCAACAACGGAUCUCUUGGCUCUC